rnacentral:miRNA from 17 species
CGUGUUCACAGCGCACCUUGAU